rnacentral:rRNA from 1 species
GAUGAACGCUGGCGGCGUGCCUAAUACAUGCAAGUCGAGCGAACAGACGAGGAGCUUGCUCCUCUGACGUUAGCGGCGGACGGGUGAGUAACACGUGGAUAACCUACCUAUAAGACUGGGAUAACUUCGGGAAACCGGAGCUAAUACCGGAUAAUAUAUUGAACCGCAUGGGUCAAUAGUGAAAGUCGGUUUUUCUGUCACUUCUAGAUGGAUCCGCGCCGGAUUAGCUAGUUGGGAAGGUAACGGCUUUUCAAGGGAACGAUGCGUAACCGACCUGAGAGGGUGAUCGGCCACACUGGAACUGAGACACGGUCCAGACUCCUACGGGAGGCAGCAGUAGGGAAUCUUCCGCAAUGGGCGAAAGCUUGACGGAGCAACGCCGCGUGAGUGAUGAAGGUCUUCGGAUCGUAAAACUCUGUUAUUAGGGAAGAACAAAUGUGUAAGUAACUAUGCACGUCUUGACGGUACCUAAUCAGAAAGCCACGGCUAACUACGUG